rnacentral:misc_RNA from 1 species
GGAAGUAUAAGUCGUAACAAGGUUUCCGUAGGUGAACCUGCGGAAGGAUCAUUAUUGUAUAACCGAGGUGCGAGGGCUGUCGCUGACCCGAAAGGUCGUGCACGCCCGAGUGCCCUCACACACAUCCAUCUCACCCCUAUGUGCACCACCGCGUGGGUCCCCCUUUGGUUUGUUCGGAGGGGGGCUUACGUUUUCACACAAACUUUGUAUGCAGUGUAGAAUGUAUUUUUUGUUUUUGCGAUCACGCAAUCAAUACAACUUUCAACAACGGACCUCUUGGCUCUC